CAUGCACGUGCCAUACCGAAACUCAAAGCUUACCCACCUUCUUCAGCCUUCAUUCAGUGGUCAUGCCAAGGCAUGUGUUUUUGUGAACAUUAGUCCUGAUAUCAAAGAUGUUGGAGAAACCUUAAGCACACUACAAUUUGGCUCAUCAAUCCAGCAAAUAGCUCUUGGCAAACCUACUCAGCAAAUAACCAGUGUGAAGCUAAGCUAAUGACCGUAGACAGAAAAAAAAUAUAUUUGUAUUUAUAUAUUUAUUAGAGUAUUUUUGUCAUUGUUACAAAUUUCCAUUAGCAUUAGAAUAUGACCGAGAUAUUAGAAUGACUUGUUAAAAAAAUAAAACAAUAUAUAAAUUAGUUUAGUUUAAAUUAAUAUUUCCAAUAUAUACCUUGUAUUGAUUUCUUCUAUAUGCAUAUUUUUUGUACAAAAAAUGAACCAAUGAAACUCUUAAAGGGACACAGGAUUGUUGAAAUGCAUAUCCGGCCCAAAGCCUAAUAUAAAACCGCUAUAAAGAGAAGUGGAACCAAUAAAUGGGAGUGCACAUUUUUUAUUGCAAAUUAUGAAAAGGAGACAAAAUUAAUAAAAGUUAUGUAAUGCAAAUUUAUUUUAAAAAGCCUAAUUUUUGCAAAUGUA